CCUACGGGAGGCAGCAGUGGGGAAUAUUGCGCAAUGGGCGAAAGCCUGACGCAGCGACGCCGCGUGAGGGAUGAAGGUCUUCGGAUCGUAAACCUCUGUCAGCAGGGAAGAACGGUCACUGUGCUAAUCAGCAGUGAAUUGACGGUACCUGCAAAGGAAGCACCGGCUAACUCCGUGCCAGCAGCCGCGGUGAUACGGAGGGUGCGAGCGUUAAUCGGAAUUACUGGGCGUAAAGGGCUCGUAGGUGGUAUGUCAAGUCAAGGGUGAAAUCCCCGGGCUCAACGUGGGAAUUGCCUUUGAAACUGGCAGACUGGAGUGUGUGUGAGGUAAGUGGAAUUCCAGGUGUAGGGGUGAAAUCCGUAGAUAUCUGGAGGAACAUCAGUGGCGAAGGCGACUAUCUGGCACAUAACUGACGCUGAGGAGCGAAAGCGUGGGUAGCAAACAGGAUUAGAUACCCCUGUAGUC
rnacentral:rRNA from 1 species